AGUAAAUAGAUACCCGGGUAGUCCACGCCGUAAACGAUGGAUACUAGGUGUAGGAGGUAUCGAUUCCUUCUGUGCCGCAGUUAAACACAAUAAGUAUUCCGCCUGGGGAGUACGGUCGCAAGAUUAAAACUCAAAGGAAUUGACGGGGGCCCGCACAAGCAGCGGAGCAUGUGGUUUAAAUUCGAAGCAACGCGAAGAACCUUACCUAGACUUGACAUCUUCUGCAUUAAUCGUAAUGGAUGAAAUCCCUUCGGGGACGAGAAUGACAGGUGGUGCAUGGUUGUCGUCAGCUCGUGUCGUGAGAUGUUGGGUUAAGACCCGCAACGAGCGCAACCCCUAUUAUUAGUUGCUAACAUUAAGUUGAGCACUCUAGUGAGACUGCCCGGGUUAACCGGGAGGAAGGUGGGGAUGACGUCAAAUCAUCAUGCCCCUUAUGUCUAGGGCUACACACGUGCUACAAUGGUGGGAACAAAGAGAUGCAAGACCGCGAGGUGGAGCUAAACUCAAAACCCCAUCCCAGUUCGGAUUGUAGGCUGAAACUCGCCUAC
rnacentral:rRNA from 1 species